CGCUCUCGGUCCCGUCCCCGCCGGGACUCCGCCCUCAUACCCGACCCAAUCAGAAUUCACCUUCGGACCCGCCCCGCCAGACUCCGCCCCCCGGCCGGCCCUCAGACCCGCCCCCAAACGGACGGCGCCCUCUGUGCCGCCCUCAGCCCGUUAUCACUCCUCGGCUCCGCCCCUAGGCCCGCCCACAGCCCAGCUCCACCCGCAGCACGGGUCCCAGCACGGCCACGCCCCCACCUCCCCCAGGCCUGGCCACCUGCCCGGGCUCCCCCACCUGGGCUCUGCCUGGCCACAGCCAGGAGCAGGCUGGAGAGAAGAGGGGCUCUCUGGGCCUGUUAAUGGCCUCCUCUAGGGUGGGUCUCGGAGGAAGGCACGCCCACGGCAGUGUCACCUCGGCGCUCACACCAGCAGGGCCGACGGCGUAGAAUCCCUCCGACAGAGGCGGGAUAGGGGUCGCACCCCCCAGACUGAAGAAGGGAAGGCCUGGUGGAACCCUCCGAGGAGGAGAGGAGGAGGCUUCCGUGAGGCCACAGACUAAGCUGGGGAGGAGGCCAGCAUCCUUGUGGGUGGUGUGCUCAGGGUGACACCCCAGGAUUCUGGGGGAGUGGAAUGAGAGGGCCCCGUCUGAAGGGAGGCUAGGCCAGGAGGAGGAGCUGGGGGAUCCCACGCCCCCAAAACUGCCUAGCUGGGGUGGAGGCAGCUGCCCAGACGACCCAGGAUGGGCGGGCCCAGUUGGGGUAGUGGGCCCCGUGGGGGGAAAUGACCCACCCGGUAAGCACCGAAGACUGGCGUGAGGGGGGAACCAGGAAGGUCCGUGGGGACUUCUGUGGGAGGGUGGUGACCCACUCCCCAGAUGGCCAGUGAACCAGGGCUCCUCCGAGGAAGGAGGCCCAGACGUCUGCGAGCGGCGUAAGCCAGAUCAAAUAGGACCUACUCCCUAAAGGCUCCCCAGUCACCAACAUGGACGGGGACUGAGAAGACUCCUGCUUGUUCAGACAACCUCUCCUAAAGGGGCUGCAGCGCUCCAGCUUCAUGGCCCAGGCUCUUACUGAAAAUGUGCCCCCAAUCAGAAACAAAGGUGAAAAAACACCAUGAAGACCAGGCACCAGUCGUGACACGUCGUGUUCUUAAUAUAGAAGAGUGCUGGCUGCAAAGUAUU